rnacentral:rRNA from 1 species
GAUGAACGCUGGCGGCGUGCCUAAUACAUGCAAGUCGAGCGAACAGACGAGGAGCUUGCUCCUCUGACGUUAGCGGCGGACGGGUGAGUAACACGUGGAUAACCUACCUAUAAGACUGGGAUAACUUCGGGAAACCGGAGCUAAUACCGGAUAAUAUAUUGAACCGCAUGGUUCAAUAGUGAAAUACGGUUUUGCUGUCUCUUAUAGAUUGUUCCGCGCCGCAUUAGCUAGUUGGUAAGGUAACGGCUUACCAAGGCAACGAUGCGUAGCCGACCUGAGAGGGGGAUCGGCCACACGGGAACUGAGACACGGUCCAGACUCCUACGGGAGGCAGCAGUAGGGAAGAUUCCGCAAUGGGCGAAAGCAUGACGGAGCAACGCCGCGGGAGUGAUGAAGGUCUUAGGAUCGUAAAACUCUGUUAUUAGGGAAGAAAAAAUGUGUAAGUAACUAUGCACGUAUUGACGGUAACGAAUCAGAAAGCAACGGCUAACUACGUG